CGAUAACAGACGAUGAUUGAUUUAUGGCGGUUUAAAUACUAAACACCAGGGUUUAUAUUAUUAUGGAAUUAUGAGGCUAUACCAAGCAGUUUUGCGGCGGACCAGGCAAACCAAGAGGGUGCACUGAAAAUAUUUGAUACUUUCCAUGAAUGUAUCUAGAGUAUAAUGACCAACCAUUGGAAAGAUGAUAAGGCACAUCCAGAACGACACUAGUUGACCGGGCAACAGUCAACUCAAAAUAAGUUUUCCAACAUUACUUCAGGAGAUUUUUAACAAAUUAACGCUUAGGUCGGCUUUUAAUCGCAUUAAUCCAUCAUUUUAAGUAUGAUUGAUGCAUUCAUU